GCCUGGGUGGUGGAAUGGUAUACACGCACGCCUUAAGAGCGUGUGGCGCAAGUCAUGCGGGUUCGAGUCCCGCCCCAGGCA
rnacentral:tRNA from 1 species